UACGUAGGUGGCAAGCGUUGUCCGGAAUUACUGGGUGUAAAGGGAGCGCAGGCGGGAAGCCAAGUCAGCUGUGAAAACUACGGGCUUAACUUGUAGACUGCAGUUGAAACUGGUUUUCUUGAGUGAAGUAGAGGUUGGCGGAAUUCCGAGUGUAGCGGUGAAAUGCGUAGAUAUUCGGAGGAACACCGGUGGCGAAGGCGGCCAACUGGGCUUUAACUGACGCUGAGGCUCGAAAGUGUGGGGUGCGAACAGG
rnacentral:rRNA from 1 species